rnacentral:tRNA from 1 species
UCCCUGGUGGUCCAGUGGUUAAGACACUGUGCUUCCAAUGCAGGGGAAGCGGGUUCAAUCCCUGGUCAGGGAA